UGUUCGAGCGUCAUUACACCCCUCAAGCCUGGCUUGGUGUUGGGCUCCGCUGCGCAAGCAGCGGGCCUUAAAAUCAGUGGCGGUGCGUCGGGCCCUGAGCGUAGUAAAUAUCCUCGCUACAGGGACCCGGUGGACGCUGGCCAUCAACCUAACUUUCUAAGUUUGACCUCGGAUCAGGUAGGGAUACCCGCUGAACUUAA
rnacentral:misc_RNA from 1 species